UACAGAGGUCUCAAGCGUUGUUCGGAUUCAUUGGGCGUAAAGGGUGCGUAGGCGGCGCGGUAAGUCGGGUGUGAAAUCUCGGGGCUUAACUCCGAAACUGCAUUCGAUACUGCCGUGCUUGAGGACUGGAGAGGAGACUGGAAUUUACGGUGUAGCGGUGAAAUGCGUAGAUAUCGUAAGGAAGACCAGUGGCGAAGGCAGGUCUCUGGACAGUUCCUGACACUGAGGCACGAAAGCCAAGGGAGCAAACAGGA
rnacentral:rRNA from 1 species